GACGAACGCUGGCGGCGUGCUUAACACAUGCAAGUCGAGCGGUAAGGCCCUUUCGGGGGUACGACGAGCGGCGAACGGGUGGAGUAACACGUGGGUGACCUGCCCUCCAGCUCUGGGAUAAGCCUGGGAAACCGGGUCUAAUACUGGAUAUGACUCCAUGACGCAUGUUGUGGGGUGGAAAGCCUUGUGCGGCUGAGGAUGGGCCCGCGGCCUAUCAGCUUGUUGGUGGGGUGANGGCCUACCAAGGCGACGACGGGUAGCCGGCCUGAGAGGGCGACCGGCCACACUGGGACUGAGACACGGCCCAGACUCCUACGGGAGGCAGCAGUGGGGAAUCUUGCGCAAUGGGCGAAAGCCUGACGCAGCGACGCCGCGUGAGGGAUGAC
rnacentral:rRNA from 1 species